ACGGCUCAGUAACACGUGGACAACCUGCCCUUAGGUUGGGUAUAAACCCGGGAAACUGGGUAUAAUACCCGAUAGGUCUCGAUUGCUGGAAUGCAUCGAGAUUUAAAGCUCCGGCGCCUAAGGAUGGGUCUGCGGCCUAUCAGGUAGUAGUGGGUGUAGCGUACCUACUAGCCUACGACGGGUACGGGUUGUGAGAGCAAGAGCCCGGAGAUGGAUUCUGAGACACGAAUCCAGGCCCUACGGGGUGCAGCAGGCGCGAAAACUUUACAAUGCUGGCAACAGCGAUAAGGGAACCUCGAGUGCCAGGUUACAAAUCUGGCUGUCGAGAUGCCUAAAAAGCAUUUCAUAGCAAGGGCCGGGCAAGACCGGUGCCAGCCGCCGCGGUAACACCGGCGGCUCGAGUGGUAACCGUUAUUAUUGGGUCUAAAGGGUCUGUAGCCGGCCGGAUAAGUCUCUUGAGAAAUCUGGCAGCUUAACUGUCAGGCUUUCAGGAGAUACUGUCUGGCUCGAGGCCGGGAGAGGUGAGAGGUACUUCAGGGGUAGGGGUGAAAUCUUGUAAUCCUUGAAGGACCACCAGUGGCGAAGGCGUCUCACCAGAACGGACCUGACGGCAAGGGACGAAAGCUAGGGGCACGAACCGGAUUAGAUACCCGGGUAGUCCUAGCCGUAAACGAUACCCGCUAGGUGUCGGCCACGGUGCGACCGUUGUCGGUGCCGUAGGGAAGCCGUGAAGCGAGCCACCUGGGAAGUACGGCCGCAAGGCUGAAACUUAAAGGAAUUGGCGGGGGAGCAC
rnacentral:rRNA from 1 species